rnacentral:rRNA from 1 species
GAAUCUUCCACAAUGGGCGAAAGCCUGAUGGAGCAACGCCGCGUGGGUGAAGAAGGUCUUCGGAUCGUAAAACCCUGUUGUUAGAGAAGAAAGUGCGUGAGAGUAACUGUUCACGUUUCGACGGUAUCUAACCAGAAAGCCACGGCUAACUACGUGCCAGCAGCCGCGGUAAUACGUAGGUGGCGAGCGUUAUCCGGAAUCAUUGGGCGUAAAGAGGGAGCAGGCGGCCUGGAGGGUCUAUUGUUAAAAGGCAGUGGCUUAACCAUUGCAAGGCGAAGAAACCGGCAGGCUAGAGUUCUAAAGAGGAUCGUGGAAUUCCAUGUGUAGCGGUGAAAUGCGUAGAUAUAUGGAAGAACACCAGUGGCGAAAGCGGCUCUCUGGUCUGUAACUGACGCUGAGGUUCGAAAGCGUGGGUAGCAAACAG